rnacentral:rRNA from 1 species
UACGGAGGGUGCAAGCGUUAUCCGGAUUCACUGGGUUUAAAGGGUGCGUAGACGGGCAGGUAAGUCCGUGGUGAAAUCUCUGAGCUUAACUCAGAAACUGCCAUGGAUACUAUUUGUCUUGAAUAUUGUGGAGGUAAGCGGAAUAUGUCAUGUAGCGGUGAAAUGCUUAGAUAUGACAUAGAACACCAAUUGCGAAGGCAGCUUACUACACAGUUAUUGACGCUGAGGCACGAAAGCGUGGGGAUCAAACAGG